AAACAUGAGAAUAGCUUUCUCUGGCACAUGGUUGCCAUCACCUGAAAAGAUCAGGAGCUUCUGAGCCCAAGGCCUAGACAACCUAUACCUCCCCCAUUCAGCCCCCUCCCUCCCCUCUUCUUUAGUAAUGAGGCCUAUUCAGCAACACACAAGGAAGAACAGCCUUUACAGUCCAGGAUCCACUGCAUAUAGGAAUCUUUCUCAUUGAAAUCUACAGAGCUCAAGAGUAUCUGCAUUUGGAGAAGAGCCUGGGAAGCAGCUAUCCAAGCACUGGGUGCAUUCCAAUCUCAGGUCCCUCGUUGGCUGCUCGUCAGAUUUCUCUCUUCAAUUCCAAGCGCAUCUUAUGUAAACAAUAGUGUCUGUGAUAGUGGAUGUGAUUGUGUGCUACCUGGAUCUCCUAGCUGAAAUCCUUCCAAGAAUUUCCUUCAGUCAAUGGGAGCCACCCCCCCUGAGGUUAUGGCUCCAGGUGAAGAUUAAACAGCUGUAGAAGUGUCAUCCAAGAUUGGCCAAUGCUGUUCCUGAGAGUCCUU
rnacentral:lncRNA from 1 species